GAUGAACGCUGGCGGCGUGCCUAAUACAUGCAAGUCGAGCGAACAGACGAGGAGCUUGCUCCUCUGACGUUAGCGGCGGACGGGUGAGUAACACGUGGAUAACCUACCUAUCAGACUGGGAUAACUUCGGGAAACCGGAGCUAAUUCCGGAUAAUAUAUUUACCCUCAUGGUUCCAUAGUUAAAGACGGUUUUGCUGUCACUUAUAGAUGGAUCCGCGCCGCAUUAGCUAGUUGGUAAGGUAACGGCUUACCAAGGCAACGAUGCGUAGCCGACCUGAGAGGGUGAGAGGCAACACUGGAACGGAGACACGGUCCAGACUACUACGGGAGGCAGCAGUAGGGAAACUUACGCAAUGGGCGAAAGCUUGACGGAGAAACGCCGCGUGAGGGAUGAAGGUAUUCGGAUAGUAAAACUCUGUUAUUAGGGAAGAACAAAUGUGUAAGUAACUAUGCACGUCUUGACGGUACCUAAUCAGAAAGCCACGGCUAACUACGUG
rnacentral:rRNA from 1 species